CAUGCUACUCUAUGUGUUUAUCGUUUGUCAUGAUCGUGUUUAUUCAUUUCGUUUUUUUUCGUUUACGUUUUCGUAGGUGUAACUACCAAAGAAAAGCCUGAAGCGAAAUUAUCUAAAAGCAUAAAUUAGAAUCUGUUGAAAAACAAGUUGCUGGAUUACGUUAUUAUCACAGAAUCUACUAUUAAUACAGAACAGGAAUUACAAACAUUGGAAACAAAAUUAAUUAACCGUGAUGAAAACCAUGAAUUUAGGUCUCAAUAUAAAUUGUUGAAAUUACAUAGUCAAUGGGUAAAGACAUUUUUAGACAAAGCAUUUAUUAUAAUGUUAAUAAUAUUAUUUUUAUUAUCAAACAAUUUCAAAAAAGUAAUUUUAUUUUAUUUUAUUUUUUGAUACUUAACUAGAAUUUGUUUGUUUUAAAUAUUUUAUUUACCUAAGUAUAAUACUUUUCAAAACAGUAUAAAAUAAUUUAUCAUUUAUUAUAAAAUAAAUUGAUGUUAUUUAUUAUAUC